rnacentral:lncRNA from 1 species
GUCCAUCGAUCUUUCCUCACCUUAGCCUCUUGGCUGUUGUUUAUCCUUUUGUUUGUGGUGUUUAUUAGUUUUUUCCUCCAUGGAAUAGAAUUUUUGUGAUCCAUCCAUUUAAUUUCUUCCCCAAACCUCACAAAAUUUCAUGCUUCUAGCAAAAUUAAGCUCUCAAAAUCUCAAGGGACCUACUCACACCAGCACAACUCUUACAAAAUCCCAGAUGCUUGAGAAACCCCCAAUCGGAACCUAAGAAGCUUAUAAAGUUUCUUUAGCCGAAACCACAUUAAGAACCGGUGGCAAAGAGAAAUGAAGCGGAAACAUAAAAGACUUCAAAUUUGUAGGUUUUCUUCAUAUAAUAUGUGGAAAAAGGAAACCUUUACUCAAUAUCUUCUCCGUGAACAACAGUGCUUACAUGAAAAAAGGCUUCUUUCUCCGAAUCUAAAUAUUUAUAAGGUUUUAGCGAUCCAAACACGAGAGUC